rnacentral:rRNA from 1 species
AUUGAACGCUGGCGGAAUGCUUUACACAUGCAAGUCGAACGGCGGCACGGACUUCGGUCUGGUGGCGAGUGGCGAACGGGUGAGUAAUGUAUCGGAACGUGCCCAGUCGUGGGGGAUAACGUAGUGAAAAUUACGCUAAUACCGCAUACGAUCUAUGGAUGAAAGCGGGGGAUCGCAAGACCUCGCGCGAUUGGAGCGGCCGAUAUCAGAUUAGGUAGUUGGGGGGGUAAAGGCCCACCAAGCCAACGAUCUGUAGCUGGUCUGAGAGGACGGCCAGCCACACUGGAAAUGAGACACGGUACAGACUCCUACGGGAGGCCGCAGUGGGGAAUUUUGGACAAUGGGCGAAAGCCUGAUCCAGCCAUUCCGCGUGCAGGAUGAAGGCCCUCGGGUUGUAACUGCUUUUGUACAGAACGAAAAGGUUUCUACUAAUACUAGGAGCUCAUGACGGUACUGUAAGAAUAAGCACCGGCUAACUACGUGCCAGCCGCCGCCGUAA